CUUUGAGAAUACUAAGCACGAUCAGAUGAACAAUACUUGAGUUAUAAGCACACAAACAGACAGACACAACGGAUUUUAUAUAUUAAGAAGAUAUAUAUAUAUACAUGAAGAGCUUCCUUCAGUUUCUAUCUACCAAAUCCAAACCCAGAUUACUUUCAAGAAACAGAUUUUUAAAUAAUAAUAAUAAUAAUGAUGAUUUCCAUUUUUGGCAUAAGGCCAGCAAUUUCAGAGGGAGGGGUUGUUAUGGAAUUGUAAAUAUCUACGUAACACAAUCUGAAUCUUGCACCAUCUUAUCUAUAAGACUGAAGUUUCUUAGGAAUAGCUUAAGUACUUUGUAUCAACACUAUUUUAUUACAAAUAACAGAAUAAAUGGUCAUGUUGGACAGUAUUUGAACUCUAAACCAAAUUAAACAAACCUAAAUACUGCAAAGUUCUACUUUCUCACCAAGCAUCACAGAACUUGAAAACACAGAUAAUCGAAUAAAUUUUAUUUGCUUUUUUUAAAAUAAAAUAUAUAUGAAACAAAAGUA